AGAGUUUGAUCCUGGCUCAGGAUGAACGCUGGCGGCGUGCUUAACACAUGCAAGUCGAGCGAAGCAGUUAAGUUGAUUUCUUCGGAUUGAUUCUUAACUGACUGAGCGGCGGACGGGUGAGUAACGCGUGGGUGACCUGCCCCAUACCGGGGGAUAACAGCUGGAAACGGCUGCUAAUACCGCAUAAGCGCACAGAGCUGCAUGGCUCGGUGUGAAAAACUCCGGUGGUAUGGGAUGGGCCCGCGUCUGAUUAGGCAGUUGGCGGGGUAACGGCCCACCAAACCGACGAUCAGUAGCCGGCCUGAGAGGGCGACCGGCCACAUUGGGACUGAGACACGGCCCAAACUCCUACGGGAGGCAGCAGUGGGGAAUAUUGCGCAAUGGGGGAAUCCCUGAUGCAGCGACGCCGCGUGAAGGAAGAAGUAUCUCGGUAUGUAAACUUCUAUCAGCAGGGAAGAUAGUGACGGUACCUGACUAAGAAGCCCCGGCUAACUACGUGCCAGCAGCCGCGGUAAUACGUAGGGGGCAAGCGUUAUCCGGAUUUACUGGGUGUAAAGGGAGCGUAGACGGUGUGGCAAGUCUGAUGUGAAAGGCAUGGGCUCAACCUGUGGACUGCAUUGGAAACUGUCAUACUUGAGUGCCGGAGGGGUAAGCGGAAUUCCUAGUGUAGCGGUGAAAUGCGUAGAUAUUAGGAGGAACACCAGUGGCGAAGGCGGCUUACUGGGACGGUAACUGACGUUGAGGCUCGAAACCGUGGGGGAGCAAACAGGAUUAGAUACCCUGGGUAGUCCACGCCCUAAACGAAUGGAUACUAGGUGUAGGAAGUAUCCACCCCCUUCUGUGCCGGAGUUAACGCAAUAAGUAUCCCGCCUGGGAAGUACGACCGCAAGGUUGAAACUCAAAGGAAUUGACGGGGGCCCGCACAAACAGUGGAGUAUGUGGUUUAAUUCGACGCAACGCGAAGAACCUUACCAAGUCUUGACAUCCUGCGACGCACAUAGAAAUAUGUGUUUCCUUCGGGACGCAGAGACAGGUGGUGCAUGGUUGUCGUCAGCUCGUGUCGUGAGAUGUUGGGUUAAGUCCCGCAACGAGCGCAACCCUUAUGGUCAGUUACUACGCAAGAGGACUCUGGCCAGACUGCCGUUGACAAAACGGAGGAAGGUGGGGAUGACGUCAAAUCAUCAUGCCCUUUAUGACUUGGGCUACACACGUACUACAAUGGCGUUAAACAAAGAGAAGCAAGACCGCGAGGUGGAGCAAAACUCAGAAACAACGUCCCAGUUCGGACUGCAGGCUGCAACUCGCCUGCACGAAGUCGGAAUUGCUAGUAAUCGCAGAUCAGCAUGCUGCGGUGAAUACGUUCCCGGGCCUUGCACAAACCGCCCGUCA
rnacentral:rRNA from 1 species